rnacentral:rRNA from 1 species
GACGAACGCUGGCGGCGUGCUUAACACAUGCAAGUCGAACGGAAAGGCCCUGCUUGCAGGGUACUCGAGUGGCGAACGGGUGAGUAACACGUGGGUGAUCUGCCCUGCACUUCGGGAUAAGCCUGGGAAACUGGGUCUAAUACCGGAUAGGAGCCAUUUUUAGUGUGAUGGUUGGAAAGUUUUUUCGGUGUAGGAUGAGCUCGCGGCCUAUCAGCUUGUUGGUGGGGUAAUGGCCUACCAAGGCGGCGACGGGUAGCCGGCCUGAGAGGGUGGACGGCCACAUUGGGACUGAGAUACGGCCCAGACUCGUACGGGAGGCAGCAGUGGGGAAUAUUGCACAAUGGGCGCAAGCCUGAUGCAGCGACGCCGCGUGGGGGAUGACGGCCUUCGGGUUGUAAACUCCUUUCGCUAGGGACGAAGCUUUUUGUGACGGUACCUAGAUAAGAAGCACCGGCUAACUACGUG